CUGGUUGUCAUGCAUAGGGAUCUCAAGCCAGAAAAUUUCUUGCUUUCUACCGAGGAUGAAAAUGCAAUGUUGAAAGCAACGGAUUUCGGGUUAUCCGUGUUCAUCGAAGGGGACUAGGGGAGCUAUCGAAUGAACUUAGCCGGACUCAACAUCAUCCAUCGAUGAACGAAUAUGAUGGAUCUCAGUUUUGAAUCGUCACACUAAAGAAAUUGGCAUAAUAGCCUUGAUGAAGAUAAAGACUCGGACAUGUCGGUGAAAAUUUACCACUAUCUUGAUACAACUUGCUUGUCCAGCCUCAAGUUUUUUUUUUUAUUAUAAUUAACAGCUUUAACUUGUGUUAGUAUAUGUAAUGCAGUAAUGGCCCUUUUUGGCUUUUGCAGUUGUUGUUUGUUGGCAUAAUAGUGCAUGGAUGCUCUUUUUUAGUUGUCUUAGAUUCAUAAAUUUCAACAUAUUCGAAGUCUUGAUAGCAGCGAAGUAUGAUGUGGUGGUUUGAUUGCUUUCUUAUAU